rnacentral:lncRNA from 1 species
CAAUCAAUUUACUUGCUGUGUCAAAACUAUGUAGUUCAUCUAAUUACAUUGUUAAUUUCACUGGUUCACAAUGUGUCAUUCAGGACAAGAAGUACUUGAAGAUGAUUGGUUCUGGUGAUGAGCAUGAAGGCCUGUAUCACCUUAAACUCACAGAUAGAUUGGCUCAUAUGGCUUCCAUUGAUGGUUCUAACCAUGCCACCA